rnacentral:snRNA from 1 species
GUCGUUUCUCGGCCUUUUGGCUAAGAUCAAGUGUAGUAUCAGGAGUUACAAGUGAAUGAUACAUAUAUUUGCAGAAGUUCUCUGAUGUGUCUCCUGUAAGGCUCAAUUCCU